CGCUAUUACAUCCUGCAGCAGGCCCUGCGGUAAUUUUUUUAAACCUCUUUGGUGGCCAUGGUGCAUUUUGAAAACGCGGUGAACGCUGUAGAUAGACCCUUUCCCUCCAAACAACGCACAGUAGUGUCUGUUAAAGAACAGACUGAUCUCACUGGCCCUUUCCGAAGUUUCCGCACGGCUGCUCAAGCCCUCCACGGUCUGGUUGGGCGGUCUGGGAUCCGCCUCGGCCAGCUAACCGAUGCUGCACCUGGCAAGGACUCUGCCUCUAGGACUGGAAUCGCGAGUGGGUGGGGUCGUCUGGAGGCAGCUGGCUCCGCCCGACCCGUCGGCGAGUCCAGAACACAGUUACCUGCCCGGGUUGCACGCCAGAACGCAAAGGGAGAGGAACACGCCAGACCGGAAACGGAAGAGAGUGCGGGGGACGUAUUUGGCACCCGGACGCGCUCUUUGAGUUGCACUCCUGGUUGGCUAUGUGUCUUCGCUGUUUGCUAGAGUCUCGGCGUUCCUACGUCUGCGCCCCCUUUCCUGCCAACGUUUGUUCUCUGGAAGCCCGGAGACAUCAGCGGCUGUAAUUGUGCUACUCGCUGCUAGCUAUGGAACGGUCAGAAGCAAGCCCCUGAGUCCUGAGUUGGUGGCAGCUGUGUCUGCUGCUCCCUUUUGGCAAGCAAACAAGCCAGAGCUACUCAGGCAGCUCAGUAGCAUGAGGAAGAGUGAGGGGCACAGAGAGAUGGAUGGAGACCUAAAACUAGUAACAUAGUAUCAGAUAUGAAAGUUGCCAGAUGUGGUAUAAGAACAGAGCAUCAGAUUCAGUUUGAUCAAGGCUAUGACAAUUAUCCUGGCGAGGAGAAGACUGCUUAUCUUAGAAAAAGACGUGACCUUCACUUUGGGAUGUGGAAUUUGCUAAGCAGUUAGCCAUAGAAAAUGAACAACUCCUUCAGAAUGGGUUUGAAGAGCUGAUCCAGUGGACAAAAGAAGGGAAACUGGGAGUUCCCAAUUAACAAUGAAGCAGGUAAGUGGUAAUUUCAAGGGUUUAUAAAAUACAUUGAUUGAGAUUUUUUCUGCCAGAUAUUCACUUUUAGAGUGCAGAUACUUACCUGAAUUUCAAAACACUGUACAGAUAUCUUCAUAGUGUCCUAAAGAAAGUAAGUUGCAGCAGAAUGCAUGCAAUAUAAUAGUAUUUUAUAAAAUUCAAAAACCAAAUUUUGAAUAUACUUUCUUAGCUAUAAAGAUGAUAAAACUGUAAAACAAAAUCAACAUAAUACAGUAUUUCAGGAAGGCAGGGUAAUUGAGAAAAGACACCCGGGGCUUCAACAGUACUAUCAUUCUCUUCCUCAAGUUGGACAGCAGGUUCACAGGUGGUCAUUUCAUCAUGCUUUUAUCUCAUUAUAUGUUGUUAUACUAUAUGUUAUACAUAUUAUAAUUAUACAUUAUACUAUACAUAUUCUUUUGUUUGUAACAGUGUUUCAUAAUAUUUUAAGGAAUGAAUGGAAAUGGGCAUAUAACGAAGAUAUGCAGUGCCUAGCCAUCAGUGAAGUCCCAGAAUUAUCAGAUUCCAAGAUAAUUCCUUUACAAAAAUAAGCAAACAAGGGCAUGUUAUCUAGAAUGAAAAGACCAUCCAUAUUCUAAUAACUGAGACAAUUAAAUAGGGAAUCCCUCUUUCAGGUUGGCAUUUGUUGUAUGCUUGGAAGUGUUUUGAAGCAGAAAUUGGUUGUAAAUAAAUCUACUUCUCCUUAAUACUAGGAAAGUAUAAGCUUGCUUUUAAUGUCACUAUUAUCCCUGCCAAGAAAUUAAAAGUCCUGGAGGUAGUAUUGCUUAUGAACUCAAUUCCUUGCUUAUUAAUGAACCUAAAUUGAAUCCUUGAUUAUAUCUUUCUGUAGAGUUGUUUUUGCUUUGUUUUUAGAAAAGACAGGUGCAUUGACCUUCUUCGGGGAUGACCAUGGGUAUUUUAAAAGAUAAGAAAUUUGCUAAGAAUUCCUUAAAUUUUUCUACUUUUCACUAGCCAGUGAGGACAUUGUCCAUUUUUUGCAGGUAGCUUUGAAAGAUGAUGAUACCUCCACAGUUGAGACCAUGUUAUUAAAACAUCCUUCAUCUAACCAUUUACACAUUUGGUUCUAAAGAAUGUAUUAUCCUUAGAUUCUUGUUUCUAAAUAAUGUAUUAUCUUAAGAUUCUUGUCUUGCUACUAUUCUUAAAAUUGCUCUAAAACUUGCUGAAGUAAUCAGCUUUAAAUUCUGUAAAUACAGAUAAAAUCCUCUUAAUCCUAAAGGUGCUUUUAAAAUUCAUGCAUUUUUACAUGUAUGCAAAUUGGCUAUUAAAUUGGGAAGAUUUUAUUCUAAGUAACCAAAUCUUAAGGAGCCAAACCAAACCUGCUUUAUAAAAUAUAUUAAUUCAAAGACGAAGGAAUUUCUGAAAACAGACCAAUUUACUGCGCUUCUGAAUAUUUCCUCAAACUAGAAGGCAAGCGAUGUUGGCAGAGGGAGGAAGUAACUCAUACUAGGAAGAACAAACAGCUGCUGAAAUAUGCUUGUGGUUUAGCAGUUCUUUUAAAAAUCCUGUCAGCUGCAAAAGAAAGGAAGGACUAAUACUUUCCACGAUUUCAGGAACAUCUUUAUUAACAGGCUCCUUUUGAAUGUGGUAUAUAAAGUUAGAAAACACUUAGGCAUGGUAUCUGGCAUAGGGCUCCUAGGGAGCAUUUCAUAAACAGACGGUCUGGGGCGUAUGAUGGUUUGACUGAAAGUUUUUGACUUUAUGAUGGUUCCAAAGGCAAUGCACAUUCAGUAGAAACCGUACUUUGAGUCCCCAUACAACUAUCCUGUUUUCAUGUUCAGGACAUUGUUCCCAUAAAUUACAUGAGCUAUAUAAUAAAACAGGAUUUGUAUUAAUUUUGCCUCUGUAGGUUAAUGUAAGUGUUCUGAGUAUGUUUAAGGUAGGCUAGUGUAAGCUGUGAAGCCCAGUAGGUUAGAUAUAUUAAAGGCAUUUUGACUUACGAUAUUUUCCCCUCCCCCAGUAAACCCAUUGUAAGUCAAGACACACCUGUAUCUGAUAGAGGUCUACCUUUAUCAAUUUAAACUGUGACAAAUGUAAUGUUCCUGUUUUGCUUUUAAAUUGGAGAGCAACAGCAGGUCUGAAAUAAAUACUGCAGUUAC